rnacentral:rRNA from 1 species
UGGGGAAUCUUGCACAAUGGGGGAAACCCUGAUGCAGCGACGCCGCGUGAGCGAUGAAGCCCUUCGGGGUGUAAAGCUCUUUCGGCAGGGAAGAUUAUGACGGUACCUGCAGAAGCAGCUGCGGCUAACUACGUGCCAGCAGCCGCGGUAAUACGUAGGCAGCAAGCGUUGUUCGGAGUUACUGGGCGUAAAGGGUGCGUAGGCGGCCCUAUAAGUAUGGUGUGAAAUCUCCCGGCUUAACUGGGAGGGUGCGCUAUAGACUGUGGGGCUCGAGUGUGGGAGAGGAAAGUGGAAUUCCUGGUGUAGCGGUGAAAUGCGUAGAUAUCAGGAGGAACACCGGUGGUGUAAACGGCUUUCUGGACCAUAACUGACGCUGAGGCACGAAAGCGUGGGUAGCAAAC